AAGCAGGCGUGUUACAUCCUAAUUACUUAACAUUAUAUGUCACCUAAGACGUAAAUGAAAAUGUCGCCGCGACGGUUCCCUGUCUUCAUACUUUCUGUGUUUGCUCUCGGAGGGCUACAGCACCGGCAGACCAACCGCCAAACGCUUCAACGAUCUCAAACGGUACUCCCACCGCCCGAGCAGCAGAAGCGCCACCACGACGCAGGCUAUAGAGAGAAUGCACCCCGCGCAUAUGAGGCAAACCACACUCUGCAAGGACUAAGUUAA
rnacentral:lncRNA from 1 species